CGCGAAUAGCUCAUUACAACAGCUAUUAUUCACUUGAUUUUGAAAUCCUACGUGGAUAACUGUGGUAAUUCUAGAGCUAAUACAUGCACCAAAGCUCUGAGAAAUUGAAGAGCGCAUCUAUUAGACUAAAACCAAUCGAGCCUCAAAGCUCGUGUUUUGGUGACUCUGAAUAGCUACAGCUGAUCGCAUGGUCUUGCACCGGCGACGUGUCUAUCAAGUGUCUGCCUUAUCAACUUUCGAUGGUAGUUUAUGUGCCUACCAUGGUUGUUACGGGUAACGGAGAAUAAGGGUUCGACUCCGGAGAGGGAGCCUGAGAAACGGCUACCACAUCCAAGGAAGGCAGCAGGCGCGCAAAUUACCCACUCUCGGCAUGAGGAGGUAGUGACGAAAAAUAACGAGACCGUUCUCAAUGAGGCCGGUUAUCGGAAUGGGUACAAUUUAAACCUGUUAACGAGGAUCUAUGAGAGGGCAAGUCUGGUGCCAGCAGCCGCGGUAAUUCCAGCUCUCAAAGUGUAUAUCGUCAUUGUUGCGGUUAAAAAGCUCGUAGUUGGAUCUGCGCUUGAAGACUUGGUCCACCAAUUUUGGUGCUGAACUAAGCUCUUCGGCUAUUGAUGUGCUGGUUUUCCCUACGUUACCUUUACCGGUCGCGUAGGGUGGCUAGCGAGUUUACUUUGAAAAAAUUAGAGUGCUUAAAGCAGGCUUUUAAGUCUGAAUAUUUGUGCAUGGAAUAAUAGAAUAGGAUCUCGGUUCUAUUUUGUUGGUUUUCUGAUCCGAGAUAAUGGUUAAGAGGGACAGACGGGGGCAUUCGUAUCGCUGCGUGAGAGGUGAAAUUCUUGGACCGUAGCGAGACGCCCUACUGCGAAAGCAUUUGCCAAGAAUGUCUUCAUUAAUCAAGAACGAAAGUCAGAGGUUCGAAAGGCGAUCAGAUACCGCCC
rnacentral:rRNA from 1 species